rnacentral:tRNA from 2 species
GCCCCUGUGGCGAAAUUGGUAGACGCGCUUGACUCAAAAUCAAGUGGGGAAACUCGUGUUGGUUCGAGUCCGACCAGGGGCACCA